rnacentral:rRNA from 1 species
GUAACACGUAGAUGACGUACCCUCAAGACGGGGAUAACGGAUGGAAACAUGCGCUAAUACCGGAUGACCUUACGAUGUCAGAAUGGUAAGGAAAGCUACGGCGCUUGAGGAGCGGUCUGCGGCCCAUCAGCUAGUUGGUAGGGUAAAGGCCUACCAAGGCGAAGACGGGUAGGGGGUGUGAGAGCACGGCCCCCCACAAUGGGACUGAGACACGGCCCAUACUCCUACGGGAGGCAACAGCAGGGAAUAUUGCACAAUGGACGGAAGUCUGAUGCAGCGACGCCGCGUGAGUGAAGAAGGCCUUCGGGUUGUAAAACUCUUUUGAGGGGGAAGAGCGAGGACGGUACCCCUGGAAUAAGCGUCGGCUAACUACGUGCCAGCAGCCGCGGUAAGACGUAGGACGCGAGCGUUAUCCGGAUUUACUGGGCGUAAAGCGUCUGUAGGCGGAUGUGUAAGUUGGGCGUGAAAGCUCCGGGCUUAACCCGGAGAGGCCGUUCAAUACUGCAUAACUUGAGGGUGUCAGAGGGGAGCGGAAUUCCCGGUGUAGCGGUAAAAUGCGCAGAGAUCGGGAGGAACACCAGUGGCGGAGGCGGUUCCCUGGGGCACACCUGACGCUGAGAGACGAAAGCUAGGGGAGCGAACAGGAUUAGAGACCCUGGUAGUCCUAGCCCUAAACGAUGAAUGCUAGGUGUGGGAUCGAAUGGUUCCGUGCCGGAGCGAACGCGAUAAGCAUUCCGCCUGGGGAGUACGGCCGCAAGGUUAAAACUCAAACGAAUUGACGGGGCCCCGCACAAGCAGCGGAGCGUGUGGUUUAAUUCGAUGCUACACGAAGAACCUUACCUGGGUUUGACAUGUAGGUGGUAGUGAAUCGAAAGGUGAACGACCCUUCGGGGAGCCUACACAGGUGCUGCAUGGCUGUCGUCAGCUCGUGCCGUGAGGUGUCGGGUUAAGUCCAGUCACGAGCGCAACCCUUGCUCCUAGUUCCAAGUAUCUAGGGGGACUCCCGGCGGAAAGCCGGAGGAAGGUGGGGACGACGUCAAGUCAGCAUGGCCCUUAUAUCCAGG